AAUUCGCCCUUAGAGUUUGAUCAUGGCUCAGAGUGAACGCUGGCGGCGUGCCUAACACAUGCAAGUCGAACGGUAACAGGAGGAAGCUUGCUUUCUUGCUGACGAGUGGCGCACGGGUGAGUAAUGUAUAGCUAACGUGCCCUACAGAGGGGGAUAGCCACUGGAAACGGUGAUUAAUACCCCAUACUCCUUCUUAACACAAGUUAAGUUGGGAAAUGGAUUUCCGCUGUAGGAUCGGGCUAUAUCGUAUCAGGUAGUUGGUGGGGUAACGGCCUACCAAGCCAAUGACGCGUAGCUGGUUUGAGAGGAUGAUCAGCCACACUGGUACUGAGACACGGACCAGACUCCUACGGGAGGCAGCAGUGAGGAAUAUUGCACAAUGGAGGAAACUCUGAUGCAGCAACGCCGCGUGGAGGAUGACGCAUUUCGGUGUGUAAACUCCUUUUAUCAGGGAAGAAGAUGACGGUACCU
rnacentral:rRNA from 1 species